AGCUGCCUGGGAAGAGAGCCAAUGGAAGGACUUUGUUUGACCCAGCUGCCAAUCUCCCCUGAAGCCGUGCGCCAGACUAAACACUCACACUAUUUUAACUCAAAUCAGGCUACAGCAGCUGUUUGCUUUCCGGCUCUGAGCUCUGCACCCACGAUGGCCUGUGCCGUUUACCCAGCGAGCUCUGCUAGCUGCCUGGCUGGAAUCUGUUCCGGGUUGGGAGUUGUCAUUGGAGAGCACGUUUUAACCCUCUUCCUCGUGGUAAAUGUGGACCGUUUGUUGUUCGGCAUUUGGAUCGGCCUUUGUGUGCAUCAGGAACAAGGCCCCUACCACGCACCUCUAAGAACAAAGAUGGUACCUAUUCACCCCGACCCAGACUUCUUCGACCCUAGCAAGAUGGAAAGUUGGCAUCAGAGGAGCGGAGAGACUCACGUCAUUCUAAGAGUCAGUACUGACUGCUUAAUGCUCCCGCGAGUUCCUCCAGAAGCAACACCCAAGCACGCAAGCAGGAGCCAAACAUUGCAUACGUGGAGAAAAUAAAUCAGUCAGUCAUUCAACGUGGAAAAGAGAGAGAAGUGGAGAAGAAUGUGAUAACAUUGACUAUAACCAAGCUAGUCUUACUCCUGACCAAAUUUCUAAUUCGGGACAACGAUGGUGAGAGAAGACAGACAGUAUUUUUUCUCUUAGGGAUUUUAGCUUCUGUUGUUGCACUGGGAUAAAAAGAUGUCUCUUCAUUUAGGGCAAAUAGCCACUAAGACUUUUAUUUUCUAAUGUAACUAAUUUAGUUCAUACUGUAGUCAGAAGACGAGCAAAAAAAAAAAAAAUGUUUCUGAAAUACUGUAAAAGUAUGUCCAGGAAUUUUUUCAGAAAGUUUUUUCUUCUUGUUUAAACAGAGAGUUUACCUUGUUUCUAUUCCUGUCCCCAAAUGACAUGUCUGUUUUCUUAUCUUAGAAACUAGAGGUCUAAAUUAGAAAAAUUGUAAUUUUAUAAUAAAAUGUUAUUUCUUCAGAUAGGAAGUGGCGAAGAUGGUUACAGAGAGGUUGAACUAUUGGGUUUUAUGAGUGCACAUAAACUGAAAGACCCAAUUUAUUAAAAAUGCACAUCAAGAUAAUAGUGUGGAACAGGUGAUCCUUAUUCUGAAAGUAAUACAUGUAUAAUCCCAAAACCGUCUCCUU
rnacentral:lncRNA from 1 species